ACAUGCAAGCUCGAACGGUAACAGGUCUUCGGAUGCUGACGAGUGGCGGACGGGUGAGUAAUGCGUAGGAAUCUGUCUUUUAGUGGGGGACAACCCAGGGAAACUUGGGCUAAUACCGCAUGAGCCCUGAGGGGGAAAGCGGGGGAUCUUCGGACCUCGCGCUAAGAGAGGAGCCUACGUCCGAUUAGCUAGUUGGCGGGGUAAAGGCCCACCAAGGCGACGAUCGGUAGCUGGUCUGAGAGGACGACCAGCCACACUGGGACUGAGACACGGCCCAGACUCCUACGGGAGGCAGCAGUGGGGAAUUUUUCGCAAUGGGGGCAACCCUGACGAAGCAAUGCCGCGUGGAUGAAGAAGGCCUUCGGGUUGUAAAGUCCUUUCGUGGAGGACGAAAAGGUGGGUUCUAAUACAAUCUGCUAUUGACGUGAAUCCAAGAAGAAGCACCGGCUAACUCCGUGCCAGCAGCCGCGGUAAUACGGGGGGUGCAAGCGUUAAUCGGAAUCACUGG
rnacentral:rRNA from 1 species